rnacentral:rRNA from 1 species
AGUUAACACCUGCACUAUUUGACGUUACCUACAGAAGAAGCACCGGCUAACUCCGUGCCAGCAGCCGCGGUAAUACGGAGGGUGCGAGCGUUAAUCGGAAUUACUGGGCGUAAAGCGCAUGCAGGCGGCCUGUUAAGUCAGAUGUGAAAGCCCGGGGCUUAACCUCGGAAUUGCAUUUGAAACUGGCAGGCUAGAGUCUUGUAGAGGGGGUAGAAUUUCAGGUGUAGCGGUGAAAAUGCGUAGAGAUCUGAAGGAAUACCAGUGGCGAAGGCGGCCCCCUGGACAAAGACUGACGCUCAGAUGCGAAAGCGUGGGGAGCAAACAGGAUUAGAUACCCUGGUAG